ensembl:rRNA 5S_rRNA 5S ribosomal RNA
GUCUAUGGCCAUACCACCCUGAACAUGCCCAAUCUCGUCUAAUCUCGGAAGCGAAGCAGGGUCGGGCCAGGUGAGUACCUGGAUGAGAGCCAAACUGAUGCAACUGUCU